GCAAGAUACCACGGGCGCACGGCGGAUGCCUUGGCACAGGGAGCCGAUGAAGGACGCGGCAAGCUGCGAUAAUCCCCGGCGAGGAGCACACAUCCUUCGACCCGGGGGUCUCCGAAUGGGCGAACCCAUGCACAGCAGUGUGCAUAUCCCCACCCCGAACACAUAGGGGUGGGGAGGACAACCCGGGGAACUGAAACAUCUAAGUACCCGGAGGAGAGGAAAUCAAUCUCGAGACUCCCCGAGUAGCGGCGAGCGAAAGGGGACCGAUGGCCAAACCGUCGAGCGGGCGUACCCGGCAGGGGUUCCGCCGGCGGGGUUGCAGGGCCGCGCAUCCGGGGGCUGCCGCCCCCGGGCGCAGGUCCGGCUGGGGAGCGGAACGGCAUGGGAGGGCCGGCCGCAGCGGGUGACAGCCCCGUACGCGAACCCAGACCGGACGGCGCGACGCGGUCCCUGAGUAGGGCCGGGCACGUGAAACCCGGUCCGAACCUGGGUGGACCACCAUCCAAGCCUGAGUACUACCCUGUGACCGAUAGCGCACCAGUACCGUGAGGGAAAGGUGAAAAGCACCCCGGGAGGGGAGUGAAACAGUACCUGAAACCGUGCGCCCACGAGCAGUCGGAGCACCUAUACGGUGUGACGGCGUGCCUUUUGUAGAAUGAGCCAGCGAGUCGCUGGCGCGGGGCGAGGUUAACCGAAAGGGAGCCGGAGCGAAAGCGAGCCUUAACAGGGCGACUUGAGUCCCGCGCCGCGGACGCGAAGCCGGGUGAGCUAUCCGUGGGCAGGCUGAAGCGGGGGUAAGACCCCGUGGAGGGCCGAACGCACGUCGGUUGAAAACGGCGGCGAUGACCUGCGGAUAGGGGUGAAAGGCCAAUCAAACCCGGAGAUAUCUCGUUCUCCCCGAAAUAGCUUUAGGGCUAGCGUCGCGCGUUCACCGCCGGAGGUAGAGCACCGGAUGGACGAGGGGGCUUCGCCGCCUACCGAAUCCAACCGAACUCCGAAUGCCGGCGGCCCAGAGCGCGGCAGUCAGAGCAUGUGGGCUAAGCUGUGUGCUCGAGAGGGAAACAGCCCGGACCGCCCGCUAAGGUCCCCAAGUUCCAGCCGAGUGGCAAAGGAUGUGCGUCCGCCCAGACAACCAGGAUGUUGGCUUAGAAGCAGCCAUCCAUUCAAAGAGUGCGUAACAGCUCACUGGUCGAGUGGACAUGCGCCGACAAUACACGGGGCUAAGCUGGACACCGAAGCGGCGGGAUUUUGAUUUUCAGAAUCGGUAGGGGAGCUUCCCAUGGGCGGUGAAGCCGCCGGGCGACCGGCGGUGGAGCGCAUGGGAGUGAGAAUGCUGGCAUGAGUAGCGAGAGACGAGAGAGUAACUCGUCCGCCGUGAACCCGAGGUUUCCUGGGCAAGGCUAAUCCUCCCAGGGUCAGUCGGGGGCUAAGGCGAGGCCGGAAGGCGUAGCCGACGCGCAGCAGGCAGACAUUCCUGCACCGCGCACGCGGCGCUACGACCGACGGGGCGACGGAUGGGGGUGGCUCGGCGGGGUUCUGGACGUCCCCGUGAUGGAGCGCGGCCCGCGGACCAGGGAAAUCCGGUCCGCACGAGGGCGAGGCUCCGGACGAAGCAUCUGAGCGAAGCGAGUGAGCCCGAGGUCCCUAGAAAAACCCCUAGGCAGGCGCGUGCGCGCCCGUACCGCAAACCGACACAGGUGGGUGGGUAGAACAUACCGAGGCGAUCGGGUCAACCAUGGUCAAGGAACUCGGCACAAUGGCCCCGUAACUUCGGGAGAAGGGGUGCCCGCGCGUACGUGAACGGACUUGCUCCGGGAGCGGAGGCGGGCCGCAGUGGAGAGGCCCAAGCGACUGUUUACCAAAAACACAGGACUCUGCAGAAGCCGCAAGGCGACGUAUAGGGUCUGACGCCUGCCCGGUGCCGGAAGGUCACGCGGAGGAGUUAGCGCAUCGCGCGAAGCCCCGAAGCCAAGCCCCGGUAAACGGCGGCCGUAACUAUAACGGUCCUAAGGUAGCGAAAUUCCUUGUCGGGUAAGUUC
rnacentral:rRNA from 1 species